GGAAAAGAAAAGGUGAUUGAAAUUAGAGAAUGAAAUAAAAGGAAGAAGAUUUUUCUUCAAGCAGGAUCAAGUUUUUGGGCUGGCUUUUGAAGGAAAAGUGUCAGAGUUUGAGAGUAAAAAACAUGCUAGAUUUUUAACACUUAAAAGUUCAGUCUUUGAGAGUUAAAGAACAGAUAAUUAAAAAGUACUGUUCUAUUGCAUCUUUUGAUUCUGGUUCACUGUGUUUCUGCCUAUGAUUGCAUUUGGUAUUGCUGGGGUUCCAAGUGGUUUUUCCUGGGUUGCUAUUUGGUUAGUUGCCACUGUUUCAUUGGGUUUCGGUGGAUUUCUGCUUGGUUUUAAAAUCUGUUGCUGUGUGUUGCUGUUGUUUUAUGUUACUACUUUACUGAUUCUCAGCUUCCUCUUCUUUUGAUUCCGAUACCAGGUACACAGCUGUAAUCCUGCCAAUUUUGUAAGCUUAAACAUGAAGCAUGAAUAUAUAUGAAAGAAUGGAAGUUUGAAGUUGUGAUUUAGUUUUAACUUUUCUUCUUUCAGUGAUUAUAGUUAGGAUAUUUCAUAUACUACUGCUAUGUAAAUUUCUGC
rnacentral:lncRNA from 1 species